AUGGAGAGAGGGGGGAGGGGGCCACAGCACUGGGCUGUUCUUGCCCUUAAAACUACGCGCCCUGUGGACCCGGAAAGAGAACACAUUCCCUCACAGAGAGAUGAACCCCGCUUCCUGCUGCACAGCAGCUGGCCAUUUUGACGAAGACUUCGUCCUGUGAUGCUAAUACCUGGAUCACCUAAGAUCACAAGGUCAGAAGACCUUUGGCCUCCCACCCACCUCGGCCUCCCAAAGUGCUGGGAUUACAGGUGUGAGCCACCAUGCUGGCAUGCUUCUUUCUUUUUUAAUGGCCAAAUAGUACUCCAUUGUGUGUAAGUACCACAUCUUCUUU
rnacentral:lncRNA from 13 species